rnacentral:rRNA from 1 species
AGAGUUUGAUCAUGGCUCAGAAUCAACGCUGGCGGCGUGCCUAACACAUGCAAGUCGAACGCGAAAGGGGCUUCGGUCCUGAGUAGAGUGGCGAACGGGUGAGUAACGCGUGGGUGACCUACCCUCGAGUGGGGGAUAACGUUCCGAAAGGGACGCUAAUACCGCAUGACAUUCUGGGUUUGAAGACCUGGAAAUCAAAGCCGGGGACCGCAAGGCCUGGCGCUUGAGGAGGGGCCCGCGUCUGAUUAGCUAGUUGGCGGGGUAAUGGCCCACCAAGGCGACGAUCAGUAGCCGGCCUGAGAGGGCGGACGGCCACACUGGGACUGAGACACGGCCCAGACUCCUACGGGAGGCAGCAGUGGGGAAUUGUUCGCAAUGGGCGCAAGCCUGACGACGCAACGCCGCGUGGAGGAUGAAGGUCUUCGGAUCGUAAACUCCUGUUGAUCGGGACGAAAAGCUUCGACCUAACACGUCGAAGACUGACGGUACCGGUUGAGGAAGCCACGGCUAACUCUGUGCCAGCAGCCGCGGUAAUACAGAGGUGGCAAGCGUUGUUCGGAAUUACUGGGCGUAAAGGGCGCGUAGGCGGCCUUCUAAGUCGAACGUGAAAGCCCCAGGCUUAACCUGGGAACUGCGUUUGAUACUGGGAGGCUUGGAUUCGGGAGAGGGAUGUGGAAUUCCAGGUGUAGCGGUGAAAUGCGUAAAUAUCUGGAGGAACACCGGUGGCGAAGGCGGCAUCCCUGGACCGAGAUCGACCU